rnacentral:misc_RNA from 1 species
CUAAGUUCAGCGGGUAUUCCUACCUGAUCCGAGGUCAACAUUUCAGAAAGUUGGGUGUUUAACGGCUGUGGACGCGCCGCGCUCCCGGUGCGAGUGUGCAAACUACUGCGCAGGAGAGGCUGCGGCGGGACCGCCACUGCAUUUCGGAGACGGCCCCCCGCAGAGGGAGGGCCGAUCCCCAACGCCGACCCCCCGGAGGG